UACAGAGGUCUCAACCGUUGUUCGGAUUCAUUGGGCGUAAAGGGUGCGUAGGCGGUCGCGCAAGUCGGAUGUGAAAUCUCAGGGCUCAACCCUGAAACUGCAUUCGAUACUGCGUGGCUAGAGUGCUGGAGAGGAGACUGGAAUUUACGGUGUAGCAGUGAAAUGCGUAGAUAUCGUAAGGAAGACCAGUGGCGAAGGCGAGUCUCUGGACAGCAACUGACGCUGAGGCACGAAAGCUAGGGGAGCAAACAGG
rnacentral:rRNA from 1 species